GUGUCAGCAGCCGCGGUAAAACGUAGGAGACAAACGUUAUCCGGAGUUACUGGGCGUAAAGGGCGUGUAGGUGGUUUUAUAAGUCUGGCGUGAAAUUUCUCGGCUUAACCGAGGCAGGUCGUCGGAUACUAUAGGACUAGAGGACGGUAGAGGCGUGUGGAAUUCCGGGUGUAGUGGUGAAAUGCGUAGAGAUCCGGAGGAACACCAGUGGCGAAGGCGACACGCUGGGCCGUACCUGACACUGAUGCGCGACAGCAUGGGGAGCAAACAGGAUUAGAAACCCCUGUAGUCC
rnacentral:rRNA from 1 species